AGACGUAGUAGAAUAACGCUUCUCUUUAAUGAACUUCACAUCCGCCAGGAUUUCAGAUGACCGCUCGAUAGCUUGGUUGAGAAUCUUCCUCCUAUGAAAAAGAAACUCUUCAGUCUUCUAGAAUCUUCUCCAAGCUUCUAGACUCCAAGCCAACCGCCAUAAACUGACUUUACGAAUUUCCAUUUGUUUGCUCCACGAUGCUCUG